rnacentral:lncRNA from 1 species
CACCGGAACCGGAGAUGUGUUCCCGAGAUUGUAGACACGUAACUGAGCCGGUCCUCGCUUCUUUCCGCCGCUUCCCGUGCUCUUCUCCGCCGUAUCCAACGCACCGACACAUCCUUUAACGAUGUCGUCGAUGUAGGUGAAGUCACGCGCCACUUCUUGAUUGUCCUGAGUUCGGUAAAUGUCGAUAGACUUCCCGUGGAGUAUGUCUUUAGUGAAGAAGAAGUAAGCCAUGUCUGGUCUUCCCCAAGGACCGUAAACCGUAAAGAACCGGAGUCCGGUUAAGGAAAGACCGUAGAUGUGGUUGUAAGUGUGAGCUAUCUCCUCCCCUGCUUUCUUCGUCGCCGCGUAGAGAUCCGUCGUCGGUUUAUACCCGAAAUCUCUAUACGCUAAGCUCACAUUCGCAUGCGUGUACGGCACGUCACCGUUUCUAGGCAUUUUGAUCAGAUGAUUCUUCGCUUUCGUCCCCAACAACCCUUCCAAUAUCGAAACCAAUCUCCCCACCGGAACCGGAGAUGUGUUCCCGAGAUUGUAGACACGUAACUGAGCCGGUCCUCGCUUCUUUCCGCCGCUUCCCGUGCUCUUCUCCGCCGUAUCCAACGCACCGACACAUCCUUUAACGAUGUCGUCGAUGUAGGUGAAGUCACGCGCCACUUCUUGAUUGUCCUGAGUUCGGUAAAUGUCGAUAGACUUCCCGUGGAGUAUGUCUUUAGUGAAGAAGAAGUAAGCCAUGUCUGGUCUUCCCCAAGGACCGUAAACCGUAAAGAACCGGAGUCCGGUUAAGGAAAGACCGUAGAUGUGGUUGUAAGUGUGAGCUAUCUCCUCCCCUGCUUUCUUCGUCGCCGCGUAAAGACUCGCCGGCUGAUCCGUUCUGUGUUCUUCAGAGAAGGGAUUCUCGGUGUUGAGACCGUACACGGAGCUAGACGAAGCCCAGACGAUCGCAGGCUGAGGGUUAGCUGCUUUGGCUACUUCGAGGAGGUUAACGAGACCAGCGAUGUUUGAGCUGAUAUAAGACUGAGGGUUCUUCAUGGCGUAACGAACUCCGGCUUGAGCUGCUAAGUGGAGGACGUGAGUGAAAGGGACGAUGUCGAAGAGCUUGCGCAGGAGAGGUCCGUCGUUGAGAUCUCCUUCGACGAUGAACACUUGGUUCUUCUCUAGGAGGUGUUGUCUCGCUCUUUUGAGUGAUGGAUCGUAGUAGUCGUUGAAGUUGUCGAAUCCUAAGACUCCGUCGCCGCGUUUCCUAAGUGCGAUUGAGCAGUGAGAUCCGACGAAUCCGGCAGCUCCGGUUACGAGGACGGAGAGGCCGUGUUGUCGUUUUGCUGUUGAGGAUUGUCUUACUCGCUUCUCCCAAGCGGCUCCUUCGCCUAGAGACGAGGAGGAAGAGAAGAGUCCAGUGGAUAAGAAGCUGCGUCGGUGGAGAUGGUGGCUGUCGGAGUGUGGAUGGUAGUUGACUGCGAAGAGUAGGACAAGAACUAGAGCGAUGAGGAGUGUUGCUCGGAAAAGAACUUUAGAAGAAGCUUUGAGAACUUUUGUGCUGUGGAUCUUGCGGAGGUAGCUGUUGUACCUCUCCAGCUUCACCGUCUUGCUUGUAUCCCCCGGCGCCGACAGUGGCAUUUUUGUCUUUUUGAUGUGAACAAUUCGNNNNNNNNNNNNNNNNNNNNNNNNNNNNNNNNNNNNNNNNNNNNNNNNNNNNNNNNNNNNNNNNNNNNNNNNNNNNNNNNNNNNNNNNNNNNNNNNNNNNNNNNNNNNNNNNNNNNNNNNNNNNNNNNNNNNNNNNNNNNNNNNNNNNNNNNNNNNAAAAAUUGUAUAGUUAUUAAAAAUUAUAACUAAACAAUAUUUAUAAAAUUUGUAGAUAUCUAAAAGAAACUAAUGAAAUUACGAUUAACAAUUUAUUAAUUUUUUAAAAAAGAUGUAGAAAAUUUUGAAAAUAUUAGUAAUAAAAAUUGUAUAAUUACAAAAAUACAUUUAAAUAAUGUAUCUCGAAAUUUAUAAUGCAUAUUUCAAUAUAUUUAUUUUAGUGAUGAUUUAUGAAUUAUUACCGUAUUUUAAAAAGUUUAACAAAAAUAUAAAUCAAUAUUAAAUGUAAUGUAUUAGUUAUUGUCAAAUUGUACCCUCUCUUUUUUUUUGUUCUUCCAUUAUAACAUACAGCUGUAACAAUAUAAUUCCCCACUUUUAUCCCCUAAAAAAGGACCACCAUAAAAAAAUUUUUAAAAAAGGAAAAGUACAGAAAUCUGUCCCUGUAAAUAUAUUUUUUUAAAAAAAAAAGAAAAAUAAACAGGCAUGUGAUGAUGAUGAAGCAGAGAGAUUAUUAAGCGGAUUCGUCGGCGUGAGAGUUUUCCUUUUUCACCCUCGGCUGUAUCCCAUAAUAACUAACGUACCACUUGACGAACUUCCUCAACCCCGCCGCGAGAUCCGUCGUCGGUUUAUACCCGAAAUCUCUAUACGCUAAGCUCACAUUCGCAUGCGUGUACGGCACGUCACCGUUUCUAGGCAUUUUGAUCAGAUGCUUCUUCGCUUUCGUCCCCAACAACCCUUCCAAUAUCGAAACCAAUCUCCCCACCGGAACCGGAGAUGUGUUCCCGAGAUUGUAGACACGUAACUGAGCCGGUCCUCGCUUCUUUCCGCCGCUUCCCGUGCUCUUCUCCGCCGUAUCCAACGCACCGACACAUCCUUUAACGAUGUCGUCGAUGUAGGUGAAGUCACGCGCCACUUCUUGAUUGUCCUGAGUUCGGUAAAUGUCGAUAGACUUCCCGUGGAGUAUGUCUUUAGUGAAGAAGAAGUAAGCCAUGUCUGGUCUUCCCCAAGGACCGUAAACCGUAAAGAACCGGAGUCCGGUUAAGGAAAGACCGUAGAUGUGGUUGUAAGUGUGAGCUAUCUCCUCCCCUGCUUUCUUCGUCGCCGCGUAAAGACUCGCCGGCUGAUCCGUUCUGUGUUCUUCAGAGAAGGGAUUCUCGGUGUUGAGACCGUACACGGAGCUAGACGAAGCCCAGACGAUCGCAGGCUGAGGGUUAGCUGCUUUGGCUACUUCGAGGAGGUUAACGAGACCAGCGAUGUUUGAGCUGAUAUAAGACUGAGGGUUCUUCAUGGCGUAACGAACUCCGGCUUGAGCUGCUAAGUGGAGGACGUGAGUGAAAGGGACGAUGUCGAAGAGCUUGCGCAGGAGAGGUCCGUCGUUGAGAUCUCCUUCGACGAUGAACACUUGGUUCUUCUCUAGGAGGUGUUGUCUCGCUCUUUUGAGUGAUGGAUCGUAGUAGUCGUUGAAGUUGUCGAAUCCUAAGACUCCGUCGCCGCGUUUCCUAAGUGCGAUUGAGCAGUGAGAUCCGACGAAUCCGGCAGCUCCGGUUACGAGGACGGAGAGGCCGUGUUGUCGUUUUGCUGUUGAGGAUUGUCUUACUCGCUUCUCCCAAGCGGCUCCUUCGCCUAGAGACGAGGAGGAAGAGAAGAGUCCAGUGGAUAAGAAGCUGCGUCGGUGGAGAUGGUGGCUGUCGGAGUGUGGAUGGUAGUUGACUGCGAAGAGUAGGACAAGAACUAGAGCGAUGAGGAGUGUUGCUCGGAAAAGAACUUUAGAAGAAGCUUUGAGAACUUUUGUGCUGUGGAUCUUGCGGAG